CUUCUCCAGUUCAUUUUACAAAUGAAGAAAUUAAGGCAAGCAGUGUUAAGUGACUUGCCUAGGGUCACACAGCUUGGAAGUACCCAAGACUAAAUUUGAACUCAGUUCUUCCUGACUUAUGGCUGUUCUCUCCCCUUCUCCACCUAGUUGCCCUCUAAAAACUUAUUAGAGCAAUCACAAGAACUUAUGUGCAGAAAGUGAAGGCACUUUAAGGAUCUCCUCUCCUCUUUCAGAUAAGGAAACCGACUUACCCAUCCAAAAUAAAUGUAAACAGCACCGUAUGUCCUCUGAAUCAAAAUCCAACACUUUCUCCAAGGAAACGAGUUUGUUUUCACCUGUGCUUGGCCAAGCUAACUCGAAAUGAUCUCAGGCUACAAGAAUGUGGGUUGUCCAAGGAUAUGGGAGGUAAAUGCAAGAUUAGGUGCCAGUGAAGGUGAGAGAAACCAUAACUUUUCUGGGAAAUGAACAACCCACAGAGAAGCAAUUAGAAGAUGCUCAUUUGCAUAGGCUACGGGAUUGGUUCACACCGAUCCCCCCUGGAGGUCACUGAUGAGAACUUAGUGACUAAUGGCCAUUCUGAUUCAUAAAUGAAGCAGCAUUUCUUUUUAUGAUGUUAUAAAAACCCAGUGAAAUGCUGUUGGUCCAGACUCUAUGAAUUAGCAAUUUGUGAUGAUUUCAACAAAGAUGAGACUAAAGCUUCUCUCUCCAUAAUAAGAAAAAUGACUUAGUUUGGGCAAAGAAGUUCUCAGGAAAAAUGUCCAAACUCCUUAAGGAAGCCAACUCUGCAAGCAGGAGGAGAGAGGUGUCCUGGAGAGACCCCGUAGAGGCAACAGCAGGGCUCAACGCGGGAGGCAACCCAGUGAAGAACCUAGAAGAGCCUGGAUCAUUGAAGCAUUAGAACUGUGUACCUCUUACUGAGACCUGCUUCCAGUUGGCUGUCACUAGGAAGGAGCUGAUCCACUCAUUCACAAUGAAGUUCAAGAAUUAGUGUUAUCCUUUGCAGAGGCACUUGAUUUUAAAAAAGAACAUUGCUUGAACCCAGACAGAAUUUUAGAGACUGUUGAAUGGCUGGCUACUAUUUGUGGGGAUGAGGGGAAAAGGCAGAGUAGUGGGGUGGGACUUCCUCAGUCCCUCUUCUAUCAUAAUAUAUCAUAUUUCUAUAGUACCUCAAAUUCUCACCACAACUUAUGAUCAUUAUCCCCCAUUUUACAUGUAAAGGUAGGGGACUUCUUGUUUGUAUCAAUCACCCUAUCCCAAUUAAUGUGAUGAACAAGAUGCUAUAGUCCUGAUACCUUUAUCAGAUAAGAAAACCUUUAGAGAACCAAUGCCUCAAGUCCUUAGUUUGGAAGGAAGGAAAGUCAUUGAUCAAAUGAAAUGAUGGUAUGUAGGAAGUGUAUUGGGAUUGCCUACAGAGACUUGAUCAGAUCUUUUAGUACUUGAAUAAAAUAGCCAUUUCAGAAUCUAGAAUUCCAGCCAGUGGGCAUAGCUUUAGCCUAGUAAGAGAGUAGGAAAUUGCUCGAAUGCAAAGAGAGAAUAUCCAUCUCUUCUGCCUUCUUCUCCAUUAAUGAGAGGAAGAUCUAGUGAAUUUUGAAAGUUUGGAAGUUUUGCUAUUGAUGUCCUAGUUGUGUCCCGCCAACACUGGUCAAUGGCAGCAUUUCCAUCACUCAAAGGCUGAGUUCAAAUCGACUCUAUAAGAAACCCAACAGAAAGUAAUAUGUACCUCAGUGGAAUACUAUGAGAAUUCCACAAAGGGAGAACGGGACUUCCAUCUAAUCGAGAACUGUGAAUUACCUGUAAGCGUAAGUCCACUCUCCCUAGGACUUUUUAUGUGCUGGUAGGAGAUUGUGCCUUAUAUUGAUGUGAUAUUUCAAACCAACUGGUUUUGACUAUGCAACCUUAAUAAAUAUUCAUUCCUAAGAGCUAAAUAAGUCAGGCUGGAGCAUUGAUGUCAACUGACAAUUAAUGGGAAAACCCACCUGUGAGGACUCAUGAGCUACAGUAACUAGAACAAGCUCUAAUUCGGAUUGAGAGAGUAUUGUUUCUGUGUGAACAUUUAAUCCUCAAAAGUCAGCAAAUGCUAUGAAACAGGGCUCAAUUUAUUGUUUUGUUGAUUAUAUAGACUUAAGAAAAUGAUGGGGACAUUUUGUUAAGAAUGUGGAUUAAACUUUGAGA